ACUAUUUUUACUUUAUUCUGAUUUUUAAUUUAUAUUCUUACCGUGUUAUAUGCCAUUCUUCAAUAAAAUUAAACUAAAAUACUUUUGUGACUGUCUCUUAGAUAUAUAUUUUUUCGGUUUUAUUUUUCUAGUAUUUCUCAAUAUUUUUUGCUUCUUAUAUAUGAGAGUUUGCUUCUUUGUUCCUGAAGCCGAACUGAUUUUCACGUAUCCGUCUAUCAAUUGCCCAUAUGUGAUAGUUAUAUUGCUCUUUGUACAUUGUUGUCUCUUUUUAAUAAAUACAGUGCUUCUCCAUUCGUCUGGCUUUGUCCAACUUCCAUAAUUCUACUAAAUAAACCUGUUAGCCAACUUGUUUCUGUCUUUCUCAGAAAUAUCAUCUGACAUUCUUUGAUCCACUUCAAAGAGAGUGAAAUUGUGUAUAGCAAAAAUAAAUGAUGUGUCUUUUGGUUUCUGUUUUAUCUAGUGCUUCGUAGCGUUGCAGCAGGUUAGAAUCCCAAAUUUUUAGUAAUUUCGAUUUUAUUCAUACAUAUUAGAUCUAUGUUUGCUUAUUUGUAACUUGUGUAUAUAUAAUUUUCUUAAUCGAAUUACUCUAAAAGACUUUUGCUUUAAAAUUUUGCAACUUUUUUCUAUUCCUCCUCCUCCUCAGUCGUUUCCUCAUUGCUGAGUGUCGUGAUUCCCUAUAAUACGAGCGCAACUAUCUCUUUCCAUCUGCUUCUGUCCUGAGCUUCCCUCAUAUAGAUUCAGAGAAUGUUUUUCCACAGGCUUUCUGUAUUUGAUCCGUCCAUCGAGUAAGUGAGCAACCUCUACUUCCGCGCCCUUCAACAUUUCCCGAAAUUUUUUUCUAUUAGAGACCUUUAUUUUAGAUAUAUUUUAUAUAAAUCUCACACAAGAAAUGCAUUUUUUCUCGAUUUUUUCAUUUUAUUUUCGAAGAGAGUGAAUUUUAGUAUAGCAAGUUGUUAUUGAGAGUUUUGCUCUGAAUUACAUUUUUUGCUUCGAAAUUUUACAACAUGUUUCUAUUAGAGAGCAUCCUAUUAGAUAUGUUUUUGGUCUUUUUUGUGUUUUCUGCAGCGGGUUCGAAAAUCGCACUAGCAAUGCAUUUUUUUUUCGAUUUUUUCGAAGAGAUCGAAUUUUAGUAUAGCAAGUUGUUAUUGUUUUAGGUGGAUUUAGCAAAAAAUAAGCAAGGUUUCAUCCAUUGCAGUGGAAACGAACAUACAACAGUCAAAUUCAAAAUCGUUGAAACUUAGAAUAAAAAAAGAAGGUGGAUUUAGCAAAAAAUAAGCAAGGUUUCAUCCAUUGUAGUGGAAACGAACAUCCAACAGUCAAAUUCAAAAUCGUUGAAACUUAGAAUAAAAAAAGAAGGUAAGCGAUGUUGUUUUUAUAAGCCAUACAUAUAAUAGUGAAAUACUUAAGCAGCGAGUUCGAAAAUCUCAAUAGCGAUGCUUUUUUUUUUCUAUUUCUCGAUUUUUUCGUUCUAUUUUUAAAGAGAGUGAAUUUUAGUAUAGCAAGUUGUUUUUGAGAGUUUUGCUCCGAAUUACAUUUUUUGCAUCGAAAUUUUACAACAUAUUUCUAUUAGAGAGCCUCCUCUUAGAUAUGUUUUUUGUCUUUUUGUUUGUUUUCUCGAUUUUUUCGAAGAGAGUGAAUUUUAGUAUAGCAAGUUGUUAUUGUUUUAGGUGGAUUUAGCAAAAAAUAAGCAAGGUUUCAUCCAUUGCAGUGGAAACGAACAUACAACAGUCAAAUUCGAAAUCGUUGAAACUUAGAAUAAAAAAA
rnacentral:lncRNA from 1 species